rnacentral:rRNA from 1 species
GACGAACGUCGGCGGCGUGCUUAAUACAUGCAAGUCAACUGAAGCAGUGGUAGCAAUAUCGCUGUGGAGGUGGCGCACGGGUGAGUAACACGUAGGUAAUCUGCCUUCAGGUCUGGCAUAACUCCGGGAAACCGGGGCUAAUAGCAGAUGAUGCAGCGGCUCGACAUCGAGACAGUUGUUAAAGCUAUGGCGCCUGAAGAUGAGCCUGCGUCUGAUUAGCUAGUUGGCGGGGUAACGGCCCACCAAGGCAACGAUCAGUAGCUGGUCUGAGAGGAUGAUCAGCCACACUGGAACUGAGACACGGUCCAGACUCCUACGGGAGGCAGCAGUAAGGAAUAUUGCUCAAUGGGAGAAAUCCUGAAGCAGCAACGCCGCGUGAGGGACGAAGGGCUUUUGCUUGUAAACCUCUGUAGUGAGAGAAAAAAAUCCCAAUCUUUGGGACAUGAUGGUAUCUCAAAAGUAAGCCCCGGCUAACUACGUG